rnacentral:lncRNA from 1 species
AGAAUUAUUGCGAUCCAUGCCCCCUCAAACAAUUCCCAAGCUGAUCCCAUAUCCCCAACCUUAGUAUAAGCAACAAUUAACUAUAUCCAAGAAACCACAACCCUAUUAGGCAUUUCAUCAAACACCAUGCGCCCACAAUCCCAAAAAACCACAUUCACAUGUAUAUCAAUCAUGAUGUUUCCUACAUACAAAUCCGCCGCAAACUCUCCAACAAAAAUCAUAUGCGCAUGUAUAUGCCUACCCAACUUCACAUCAAGCACAUCCCCACAAGCCUAAGACUCAGUAAUAAUGUUUGGUCAGUAGCCUCAUACCUCCAACACGUAAUAUCUUGAGGUAUGAGGCUAUGAGCUAUGGUCUCAUUUUCCUUUUCGUUGACCUUAACUAGAAUAUUGGCUGAUCAUGAUGCUGCAUGCACUCUAAGCCCAUUCCAACCGUGGGAGUUUCGCUGAUGAAGCUUUGAUGAGGGUCUUUAGAAUUAUCAUACGGUGAAAGAUUUGUCAAAAUCAUGAUAGGUAUAGUCUUGUUUUCAUGGGAAUUUUAGGAGGGUGUAUUCAAUUUGGAUUUUAAAUGAUUUUAAAAGAGUUAUAAAGUUGAUGGAGUUUAAUUGAUUUUAAUGGAGUUUAUAGUGAUGGGAUGGUGGUGAUGGUGAUGGUAGUUUGUGGGGGAGGUAGUGGUGGAUGAGGUGGGGGUGGUAGUGGUGGUUUCGGUGUGAGUGAGGUAGUGGAGGAGGUGGGGGUGAUAGUGAUGGUGGUGGUGGGAGUCAGGUGGUGGAGGUGGUGGCGGUGGCGGUGUCAGUGGCUGUGGUGGUGAUGACGGUGGGGC